AAUGUGAAACGUCUUCAACAAAAACCAAUACACAGAUUAAUGUACACAUUAAAUAUUCACAUAAAGCCGUAAUUCGUACAUACACAUAAUAUAAACUACACUCGCAACAAGAUCAACGAAAUUGAUGAUGGCAACAUUUACGCGAUGUGGUGGCAGUUCUGCAAGUGCGACGUGUUUGUCAACUUCAUAAAGAAAACGAAUUGAAUAUCUCUCUCUGGAAAAAGAAAUAUGAAUACGCUUGCAGAAAUUCGUCACAGGCAUUAAAAUAGUCGUAGGUGGAAUUGGCGCACGCACAUAAAAACUCAUGAAAUUUAAACAGCAGAUAAAAAAUCGCAUCAAACAUGAACAAAAGAAGCUAAUCCACAAAGCAAGGUGUAAAUAAAA